AAGGUUUCCCCACAGGCCGUUUGGAAAGUAGAGAUUCCCAAACCAUAUUAUACUGGAUGGUCCUACUAAAAUAAAGGUAUUUAAAAGUGUGAGGUUUGCGUUUUCUCUUUCCAGCCAGCGCUGAGCGAUGGGCAUCUCUCGGGACAACUGAACAAGCGCCGCAAGACCGUGGGCAAGAGAAAGCCCUACCACAAGAAGCGGAAGUAUGAGCUUCGGCGCCCCGCUGCCAACACAAAGAUUGGCCCCUGCCCCAUACACAAAGUCCAUGUGCAAGAAAUACCAUGCCCUGAGGCUGGACGUGGGGAACUUCUCCUGGGGCUCAGAGUGUUGUACUCGGAAAACGAGGAUCAUUGAUGUUGUCUACAAUGCGUCCAAUAACGAGCUGGUCCACACCAAGACCUUGGUAAAGAACUGCAUCGUGCUUAUUGAUAGCACACUGUACUGACAGUGGUACACGUCCCACUAUGCACUGCCCCUGGGCCGCAAGAAGGGGGCCAAGCUGACACCUGAGGAAGAAGAAAUUUUAAACAAAAAACGAUCCAAAAAAAUUCAGAAGAAAUAUGAUGAAAGGAAAAAGAAUGCUAAAAUCAGCAGUCUUCUGGAGGAGCAGUUUCAGCAGGGCAAGCUUCUCGCAUGCAUUGCGUCCAGACCGGGCCAGUGUGGCCGAGCAGGUGGCUAUGUGCUAGAGGGCAAGGAGCUGGAGUUCUACCUGCGGAAAAUCAAGGCCCGGAAAGGCAAAUAACUCCUCCUCUCCCCUGUCUUAGUUCAUGUAAUAAAGGUGUUUAUUGUUCU